rnacentral:rRNA from 1 species
UGGGGAACAUUGGACAAUGGGGGCAACCCUGAUCCAGCAAUGCCGCGUGAGUGAAGAAGGCCUUCGGGUUGUAAAGCUCUUUUAUCAGGGACGAUAAUGACGGUACCUGAGGAAUAAGCUCCGGCUAACUUCGUGCCAGCAGCCGCGGUAAUACGAAGGGAGCUAGCGUUGUUCGGAAUUACUGGGCGUAAAGGGCGCGUAGGCGGUUAAAUAUGUCAGAUGUGAAAGCCUUGGGCUUAACCUGAGAAUAGCAUUUGAUACUGUUUAACUAGAGGACGAGAGAGGAAAGUGGAAUUACGAGUGUAGAGGUGAAAUUCGUAGAUAUUCGUAAGAACACCAGUGGCGAAGGCGGCUUUCUGGCUCGUCUCUGACGCUAAGGCGCGAAAGCGUGGGGAGCAAA